CAGUGUGGAAUUACACAGUCUCUUUCUGAUGUAGAUGUAGAAUCCUCAGCUCUUCCUCCAGCACCAAGUCUACCUGCACGCUGCCAUGCUUCCCACCAUGAAGAUAACAGAUUAAACUUCUGAACUGUAAGCCAGCCCCAAUUAAAUAUUUUCUUUUUUAAGAGUU
rnacentral:lncRNA from 1 species